CCUACGGGACGCAGCAGUGAGGAAUCUUGGUCAAUGGACGCAAGUCUGAACCAGCCAUGCCGCGUGCAGGAAGACGGCUCUAUGAGUUGUAAACUGCUUUUGUACGAGGGUAAACGCAGAUACGCGUACCUGUCUGAAAGUAUCCUACGAAUAAGGAUCGGCUAACUCCGUGCCAGCAGCCGCGGUAAUACGGAGGAUUCAAGCGUUAUCCGGAUUUAUUGGGUUUAAGGGGGGCGUAGGCGGUCGGAUAAGUUAGGGGUGAAAUCCCGAGGCUCAACUUCGGAAUUGCCUCUGAUACUGUUAGGCUAGAGAGUAGUUGCGGUAGGCGGAAUGUAUGGUGUAGCGGUGAAAUGCUUAGAGAUCAUACAGAACACCGAUUGCGAAGGCAGCUUACCAAGCUACUUCUGACGUUGAGGCACGAAAGCGUGGGGAGCAAACAGGAUUAGAUACCCUUGUAGUC
rnacentral:rRNA from 1 species